ensembl:snRNA U2 U2 spliceosomal RNA
AUAGCUUAUCAGCCUUUUGGUUAAGACCAAGUGUAGUAUCUGUUUUUAUCAGUUUAAUAUCUGAUACAUCCUCUGAGGACAAUAUAUAUUAUAUGAAUUUUUGGACCUGGGAGAUGAAGUAGGAGCUUGCUCUGUCCUCUCCACACAUUGACCUGGUAUUGCAGUACUUCCAGGAAUGGUGCACCAAAA